rnacentral:rRNA from 1 species
UCGGGAAUUUUGGGCAAUGGGCGAAAGCCUGACCCAGCAACGCCGCGUGAAGGAUGAAAUCCCUCGGGAUGUAAACUUCGCAAGAACAGGAAGAAUAAGUGGGAGUUAAUAUCUCUCGCGAUGACGGUACUGUUUGUAAGCUCCGGCUAACUCCGUG